rnacentral:rRNA from 1 species
UGAGGAAUACAUCGGAAUCUACUUUUUCUUGGGGGAUAACGUACGGAAACUUACGCUAAUACCGCAAACGACCUACGGACUGAAAGCAGGGGAUCUUCAGACCUUGCGCGAUUGAAUGAGCCCAUGUCUGAUUAUCUAGUUGGCGGGGUAAAGGCCCACCAAGGCGACGAUCCGUAGCUGGUCUGAGAGGAUGAUCAUCCACACUGGAACUGAGACACGGUCCACCACUCCUACGGGAGGCAGCAGUGGGGAAUAUUGGACAAUGGGCGCAAGCCUGAUCCAGCCAUACCGCGUGGGUGAAGAAGGCCUUCGGGUUGUAAAGCCCUUUUGUUGGGAAAGAAAUCCAGCUGGUUAAUACCCGGUUGGGAUGACGGUACCCAAAGAAUAGGCACCGGCUAACUUCGUGCCAGCAGCCGC